rnacentral:rRNA from 1 species
CUACGGGCGGCAGCAGUGGGGAAUAUUGGACAAUGGGGGAAACCCUGAUCCAGCAAUGCCGCGUGAAGGAAGAAGGUUCUUGGAUUGUAAACUUCUGUCAUAGGGGAAGAAGCUUUGCGUAUGAAUAAUAUGUAAAGUUGACGGUACCCUAAGAGGAAGCACCGGCUAACUCCGUGCCAGCAGCCGCGGCAAUACGGAGGGUGCAAGCGUUGUUCGGAAUUACUGGGCGUAAAGCGUGUCUAGGCUGGAGCGUAAGUCAGGUGUGAAAGACCUUGGCUCAACCAAGGAAUUGCGCCUGAAACUGCGUUUCUUGAGUUAUGGAGAGGUUAGCGGAAUUCCUAGUGUAGCAGUGAAAUGCGUUGAUAUUAGGAAGAACACCAGUUGCGAAGGCAGCUCACUGGCCAUUUACUAACGCUGAAGCACGAAAGCGUGGGUAGCAAACAGGAUUAGAUACCCGCGUAGUC